rnacentral:rRNA from 1 species
AUUGAACGCUGGCGGCAGGCCUAACACGUGCAAGUCGAACGAGUGGCGGACGGGUGAGUAAUGUCUGGGCAACUGCCUGAUGGAGGGGGAUAACUACUGGAAACGGUAUCUAAUACCGCAUACCAUCGGAUGUGCCCAGCUGGGAUUGGCUAGUAGGUGGGUUAAUGCCUCACCUAGGCGACGAGCCCUAGCUGGUCUGAGAGGAUGACGAGCAAAAGGGGAAGUGGGACACGGUCCGGACUCCUACGGGAGGCAGCAGUGGGGAAUAUUGGAAAAGGGGCGAAAGCCUGAGGAAGCCAGGCCGCGUGUAUGAAGAAGGCCUUGGGGUUGUAAAGUACUUUCAGCGGGGAGACGUUACCGGAAGAAGAAGCACUGGCUAACUACGUGCCAGCAGCCGCGGUAAUAC